CUGACCAAUCUCAUGCAAAUGCUCAAAUUACUUUGCAAAUUUUUCUUUGUUGAUUCCACAAUAGUUUUUCUUUUCUAUACGAGUUGUUCACUUGUCCAAUGCAUGACUGUUGGGUCUCAUUUCGAUUAUCACCGAAUUGGUCAGUUUCAGAUAAAGCCACUUGGGAUAGCUUUAAUCAGGGCCUUUCCUAGACGCGAUUAUUGGGGGAGUGUAUAUUCAUAUAUUCCUGUUCACAUACCGUAAAAACAAUCGCUUUCGGAAAGAAACCGUCGUGCAGAACGAAUAUAUCAAUACACCCCCCCCCCCCAAUUAUCGCGCUAGGCUUAAUGGCUUUAAUGUUUAUAUCCAACUCAUUUAUACCUUUUUUCAAACAUUUUCUGUUAGAUCUCGUAGUCAGAUAGCCAUGAUUUGAUUAUGUAGUUUAACAGACCUCGUUAGACAGUGUGAAACUAAAUUUUUCUUCCAUGUAUUCAAGUAUAAAUUUCAUAAGGAGCACUUUAAUUUAUGCAUAACCCCAAACGAAUCGUACGUGUGCAGGGGCAAGCUUUUCGCCAAAGCUGCACGUAGGAUCGUGCUAUGACGUAAGCUAAUCUUCCAAUGAGAAGUUUUGCAAAAUUUGGACCGG